UGGGGAAUAUUGCACAAUGGGGGAAACCCUGAUGCAGCGACGCCGCGUGAACGAAGAAGGUAUUCGUAUCGUAAAGUUCUGUCCUAUGGGAAGAUAAUGACAGUACCAUAGAAGAAAGCUCCGGCUAAAUACGUGCCAGCAGCCGCGGUAAUACGUAUGGAGCGAGCGUUGUCCGGAAUUAUUGGGCGUAAAGGGUACGCAGGCGGUUUAAUAAGUCGAAUGUUAAAGAUCGGGGCUCAACCCCGUAAAGCAUUGGAAACUGAUAAACUUGAGUAGUGGAGAGGAAAGUGGAAUUCCUAGUGCAGUGGUGAAAUACGUAGAUAUUAGGAGGAAUACCAGUAGCGAAGGCGACUUUCUGGACACAAACUGACGCUGAGGUACGAAAGCGUGGGGAGCAAACAGG
rnacentral:rRNA from 1 species